AUUUUUACUUAUUUUUUUUUCUUUUUUUUUUUCAUCCUACUUUUCUCUUCUCUUUUAUCACCUUUCCCCCAAAGCUGGCUCAUCUCUUCUCAUUCAUCAAGCUUUCUUCACUUAGUUGCCUUUUUGCCAAACAGCCCCGUUUCAUCUCUCCGGUUACCAAAAUUCCAUACAAAGAAAUUGAUGGUUUGGAAUUCGAAAUUAAGAUAUUGUGAAGAAGGAGGACAUGGAUUUGUAUACGAAGCUAAGGGUGGUGUUGCAUGGCGGAAGCAGAUACCCAAGCUUACUGUUUCACUUGGCCUCUCUGAUAAAAUGUAUCAAAUCGGUCUUGAUGAUGCUCUUAUUUAAUCUGGGUAGCUUCAAAUUGAUAAUUCCCUAAAUUCUUUUGUUUUUUGUUUUUUCAACAAAUUUUCGAUUCAACAGUCCACUGGUGUCUUCAUAGCUGUGUCAAGGUAUGCAAGUGCAACUCCCCUGCUGCCUUCUAUUCUUAGCCGUGGUGUUGGUUGGCAGGGAGUCGGCAUUCUUUUCUCUGGUAUAUUUGGAACUGGGAGUGGAUCAUCUGUAUUUGUUAAAAAUGUUGGUUUGUUAGCUUUGACACGUGUUGGCAGCUGAAGAGUUGUUCAGAUUUCAGCUGGAUUCAUGAUCUUCUUUUCUAUACUAGGAAAAUUUGGAGCUGUCUUUGCCUCAAUUCCAGCACCAAUCAUUGCGGCUUUGUAUUGCUUGCCUAUGUUGGUUCAGCAGGUCUCAGCUUACUUCAAUUUUGCAAUCUAAACAGUUUUAGGACGAAGUUUAUUAUAGGCUUCCCAAUUUUCAUAGGCUUUUCAAUCCCACAAUACUUCAAUGAGUAUACUGUUGUUAAUGGUUAUGGUCCAGUGCACACUGGAGCAAGAUGGUUCAAUGACAUUAUCAACGUACUGUUCUCGUCAGAACCAUUUGUUGCUGGUAUGUUGGCAAUUUUCCUAGACAUCACUCUGCAUAAGAAAGACACUGCAACAAGAAAAGAUAGAGGCAUGCAUUGGUGGGAUAGGUUCCAGUCGUUUAAGAUAGAUACAAGAAGUAAGGAAUUCUACCAUCUGCCUUUCAAUCUCAACAAGUUUUUCCCAUCAGUAUGAUAUCGAAAACACAGUAGUUGUGAAGCUGGUGUUCUCCAAUGGCCAAAUACUCCUCUAAAUAUCUCUUUGUGGGCACAAUUUGUUGCAGCGAUCCAUUUUUCCCAUAAAUCAUGAUCCUUGAAAUGGUAUCAAAUCAGUUUCGGUUAUACUGGAGGUGCCAGUAUGCUUUUAAUGCUGUUACUAAAUUUUGGCAUUAUACUAAUUGUGGUGCCAAUUAGUGUUCGAGAUUUUGACAUUGAUAGGGAACUUUGGGUCAAAUUGAGAUUGAUACCAACAGAGCCUUUUGUAGGAGCUGUUUCAUGGGCUUUCAUUGCACUUCCAAAAAUCAAAUUUGUGUUGUCACCAUUCCACUUGUUCAAUUUAAUGGCAAUUCCUGUUCUUUCAAUGUAAGUGAACUUUGUCUCUCUCAGUUUUUUAUAUGCUCUGUUCAAAUUCAUUUGUUGAUGUUUUCUAUUAUUUUUUAUGCCUAUAAAUAAAUUAGAUUGCUUUUGACAAUAAUGGGAUAAUUUUUACUUUAAUGGUGUUUUAUCUAUAUCUUGUAUAUUGGUAUACUUGUUUUCUUUGUUUUUCUUUCCACUUUUUGAUGCGGAUGCUUGACUGCUUGCAUUCUUGGUUUUUGACAAAACUUCUCACCAAGAAUUGGAUGCUUAGAAAACUGUCUUAUUCCAUGGCGGGUGGGGCAACAUCUAUUGUUUAUAUAUUGAUGGUGGAUUCACCAAGAAAAUGAAAAUAGCUUUUAGCAAUUUUAUAGUUGUUAGCCGAGGAAUGUUCUGUUGGUGGCAGAGAAUUUUUGCUUCUUGUCAGAGCUUUAUAUACAGCAAGUGGAAAAAAUCAUCUUAUAAUAUUCUCUAAUUUUUAUUCAUAAAACACUUGUACAUUUUUCUCUUACUAAUUCAGAUUUAGUUUUUAGUUUUUC